AUGUGUGAUUGGUGGAAUAUUUAG
rnacentral:siRNA from 1 species